CAGCGCAACAACAAAAACAAGCUGACACCAUCGCGUGGUAAAGCACAGCGAGCUCCGGCCCUCGGAGUGCCUGAGGAGUUAUUUCAGGGUUGGAAAGGGGGAACAGCGUCACCGUGGCAACGAUGUCUCACUUGUGUCUGCAGCAGAUGCUUCCCCUAACGAGCUGAUUGUGCACUUGAACAUUCUGAAGAUGCGUCUCUUCUCUGCGAUGACCGUCGUCUUUUUAUUUGAAGCCGUCAAACAUUUCAGCGUGUAGUGGAAAUUAUGUCUACCUGGAAAAACAAAAUGAAGCGGGAGGAAAAAAAACAAAAAAAGGGGCCACUGGGAGUUCGGUGAGACUCUCAGCAGACCGACCUUCUACAAAUAAAAAGUCACGGUUCACAAAAUGAGAUUCAACCGACUAAACCGUUAAUUCUGCACCAUGAGUAACUGUAUAAUCCCCCCCCUCUCUUAUAUUUGAUAUUUCAAAGCCUCGGCCCUGUUUAAACCUCUUUCUUUAUAUUCUGCUUGGCUUUUCAGCCCCCGUACGUCCUCUGAACACUGAUUUCUUUUU
ensembl:lncRNA